UUUCUGCAUCAUCAUAUUUAACAAUCAUCCUUUGUUCAAAUGCUGGAACAUUGUGCCGUUUUCAGUAGGUGCUCAGAAAGUGCGUUAAUGUGCAAUUUUAAUGGUUAGGAAGGCUUUGCUGAGGCAGAUAUGGGCUUGGCAUGCUACUAAAUCCAAAGUGUUUUCAAGUGUUUCAAUAGGGUCAUAACAUUGAUAAUUCAUAAUAUUGAUACUAGGAUGACCACAAAUUUUAUUCUUGCCCAGGGAGACCCCUUACAGAAAGCGGGUUUGAGAAUCGUGGUGGAAACUGGGAAAGAAGCUGUUGGCGGCACUGACUCUGGUAUCCUUACAGCCAGGCCCCUACUCUUGUCUAAAGGUAUGGGGAGGUGGGGUUAGGUGCACAAUCCAAGUCUUUUCCAGAGUUUAAAACUCAACCUAAUGUUUGUAGUGGGGGACUCCUACUGUGAAAUAAUGAAUGAUUUUACUUUACAAAUAUACGUUUUUGAGUUAUAUGAAACAACGCAAGUGUUUUAAUGCUAAGUGAAAAAUCUCGUUGUACAAAUAUAUACGUGGUUAUGAUGGUGCUUAAAACAAAUCUCAAAAUUUACACAUAGAAAAAAAAUAAACACCUUAGAAGUAAAUUCAACAAAAGUCAUUGGUGCUUGUGGGGCUAUAGGUGAGUAUUUUCCCUCCUUUUAGUUUGUGGUAGUCUCUAAAUCCAUAAUAAACAUAUUUUUAAUCAACGUAUAUUACUUUCACAUGGAAAAAAUGAACUGGGUCAAAGCUACGUUCAUAGUCAAGUUCAAGAGGAUUGUUCACUGAGAGAUGUGAAAUUAACCUAAAAUAUGGAAGAAGACUCUUACAAGUAAAUGAAUCAUGGAAUCCAAGAAAAGCAGUGCCUACUGGGACCCAGAGGUCAUUUAGAUUGUGUAUUCCAUGUAAUCCGGUCAUUUGAAGGCUUAGAAGAAAAUGAAGAUAAUUACUGAAAUCUCUGUCCUGCAUCUUCCAGUACUGAAUAAGACUGUACGAAGAUUAGUCCGGCUGUAACCCCAGCCCCUUAAAUACUGCUGGUCAUGUGGCAGGCACUCAAGAAAUGAAUAAAAAACUGCAAAAGUGGUGUGAACAGAAGGCUACUGCAGGUAACAGACUUUGGCUUGCCGUGUGUGACUUAGAACACAACCUUAAAUGGAAUGUAAAUGAAUGUGCCAACCUGAAGCCCAUCCCGUGGAUGCCACUAGCAUUUCCUGAAUACAUUCUUAACU